GAUGAACGCUGGCGGCGUGCCUAAUACAUGCAAGUCGAGCGAACAGACGAGGAGCUUGCUCCUCUGACGUUAGCGGCGGACGGGUGAGUAACACGUGGAUAACCUACCUAUAAGACUGGGAUAACUUCGGGAAACCGGAGCUAAUACCGGAUAAUAUAUUGAACCGCAUGGUUCAAUAGUGAAAGACGGUUUUGCUGUCACUUAUAGAUGGAUCCGCGCCGCAUUAGCUAGUUGGUAAGGUAACGGCUUACCAAGGCAACGAUGCGUAGCCGACCUGAGAGGGUGAUGGGCCACACUGGAACUGAGACACGGCCCAGACUCCUACGGGAGGCAGCAGUAGGGAAUCUUCCGCAAUGGGCGAAAGCCUGACGGAGCAACGCCGCGUGAGUGAUGAAGGUCUUCGGAUCGUAAAACGCUGUUAUUAGGGAAGAACAAAUGUGUAAGUAACUAUGCACGUCUUGACGGUACCUAAGCAGAAGGCCACGGCUAACUACGU
rnacentral:rRNA from 1 species